ACUGAGUUCCCAUCACUGGUAACAAUACCAGCACUCUCCUGACCCCUGUGAAUAUAAAAAGAUAUCAACUUAAAUUUACCCCAGUGAGCUAAUCAACUUUAUGAAACAUCCUUUUCUCAAAAGAAUUGAUGAAUUCAGUCUGACAGCACAUCAAAUGCUACUAGUACUAGUGUCACUUCCUCUCAAGACAAUGAGUAGCAAUAGCAGACGAUACUGUCUAACUUCUAAUAUGCCAGGCAUUAUCUUAAACAUUUACACGGGUGAUUUAAUUUAUCAGGCUUUCAAAACAAUCCUAUGAAGUAGUUAUAGUUACUCUGAUUACCAUACCCAUUUUACAGAUUGAGGACACUAAAGAAAUGGAAAUAUCUUGUCCAAGAGCCCACAGAGAGAAGUGCACAGCCAGGAAGAUUAGAAGAGACAACCUGAACCCCAGAACUUGUGCUUCUAACUCUGUACUGUGUGAUCUCUAAACAAGGUCGAAUAUGUAGAGAAAAGAAGAGAUGAAGAGGGGUGGACAGAGAAAGAGAAAUGUGGAUCGGUUGCCUCCUGUAUGAGACCCAACCCGGGAUCAAUCCCCUCACUUUGGAAGACAACGUGAGUACUGCUUCAGAAGAAGUGGACAGCCCAAAAGCACCACAAAGCAUCACUGGGUCAGGCACAGGAUCUAAACUGUUCCAUUUUAAAUGUUAGCGGAUAUUUAAAGUCUAAUAUAUACCCGUUUAAGUACUUAUGAAGCUCUCUAUUAGUAUACAUUAAUAUUAUACCUGAGCUGGUAGAGAAUACCAUAGGGGAGGAAAAAAAAUGUCUAUUCUUACUUCUUUGUAAAAGAAAUUAGUAAACAGUGAGACUCUCCAUACUCAUAAAUAUACAGCGAAGAUUCCCUACUGAUGAAAAGCAGCUAAAUUAUCCUAACUAAUAUUGGGGAUGAGUCUGCCUUGUAAUUUUAAAAAUAUUUUAUAUGAAUGCAAAUGUAUGAAAAAAAUCUUGACCCCCACUGAAAUUCUUGUAAUUCUCAGUGCUUUAUGUCAGUCUGGAUUAUUUUUUUCUUUUUAUUAAUUUGUUCAAUAAUUGUAUUGAUUAUAUUAUUACAGUUGUCCUGACUUUUUCCCCUUUGACCCUCUCCACCCAGCAACCCCCCUCUCCCUCAGGCAAUCUCCCUACUACUGUUCAUGUCCAUGGGUCAUGUGUAUAAGUUGACCUACCAGCUCUGUGUGGGGAGGGUUUAGCAAAGUGACAGUGGCCUCUGCUUGCCCUGAUGCCAGACACUUCAGUUUCCCCCUGUAUAUCACUGGUGCCUUUCAAGCUGCUACCCCAGUUCUGGAGCUCAGAGAUAGUGAGUCUGAGUAGGAGAGUCCGUGUGUGGGUUCUUUAAGAGGAACUGCUUGGGGCUCCAGAGGUUUCUUCCAAUAACCCAAUCCCCACUGGGUUUUGCAGCCAGAAGUGUAGGGAUUUAUCUUCCUGCCAACAGCAAUCAAAGCUCGACUACAAGAGGAGUGUGUACUCAGUCCACACAAAGGGCACACCUCAAGUACCCAGCUUGGGUGAUAGGGGACACUGAGCCAUGGACCCUACAGGACACCUACUACGUUAGGCCACGCUACCAAGACAGAGGGUCAUAGCAGCUCUAAUACACAGAAACAAACACAGGGAGGCUGCCAAAAUGGAGACAAAGAAACAGAGCCCAAAUGAAAGAACAGAUCAAAACUCCAGAAAAAGACCCAAAUGAAAUGGAGAUAAGCAACCUCUCAGAUGCAGAGUUCAAAACAAUGGUUAUAAGGGUGCUCAAGGAACCCAAGUGAGGACCUCAGCAACAUAAAAAAGAUCUGGUCAAAAACAAAGGUUCACUAACUGAAAUAAAGAACAAUUUCCAGGGAAAAAACAGCAGGGUAGAUAAAGCUGAGAAUCAAAUUAAUGAUAUGGAACAUAAGGAAGCAAAAAAUAACCAAUCAGAACAAUAAGAAAAAAGAAUCUAAAAAAAUGAAGACAGUAUAAGCAGCCUCUGGGACAACUUCAAGCAUUCCAACAUUCACAUCACAGCGGGGCCAGAAGGAGAAGAGAAAGAGCAAGAAAUUAGAAAUCUAUUUGAAAAUAUAACGAAAGAAAACUUCCCUGAUUUGGUGAAGGCAAUACACAUGCAAGUCCAGGAAGCCCAGAAUCCCAGACAAGAUGGAUGCAAAGAGACCCACUCCAAGGCACACCAUAAUAAAAUGCUAAUGGUUAACGAUAAAAGGAGAAUCUGAAAAGCAGCAAAAGAAGUUAGUUGCCUACAGGGGAGUUCCCAUAAGACUGUCAGCUGAUUUCUCUAAAGAAACUUUGCAGGCUAACAGGGGCUGGCAAGAAAGAGUCAAAGUUACCUACAGCCAAGACUGCUCGACCCAGCAAGGCUAUCACUUAGAACUGAAGAGCGGGUAAAGAGCUUCCCAGACAAGAAAAAACUAAAAUAGAGUCCAUCAUCACCAAACGAUCAUUACAUGAAAUAUGUUAAAUAAGUUAAAGGGACUUAUUUAACAAAAAGGAGGUCAAAACUAAGAACAAUUAAAUGGCAAAAAAUACAUACCUAUCAACCAUUGGAUCUAAACAUCAAACUAAGCAAAUCAGAACAGAGACAGAAUCAUGGAUAGGGAGUGUUUUGAUGGCUGCCGGAUGGGAGGCGUGGUAUGAGGGAAUGGGUGAAGAGGUGAGGGGGUUAAGAAGUACAAGUUGGUAGUUACAGAAUAGCC